rnacentral:rRNA from 1 species
UACGGAGGGUGCAAGCGUUAUCCGGAUUCACUGGGUUUAAAGGGUGCGUAGGUGGGUCUGUAAGUCUGUGGUGAAAUCUCCGAGCUUAACUUGGAAACUGCCAUGGAUACUAUAGGUCUUGAAUACUGUGGAGGUUAGCGGAAUAUGUCAUGUAGCGGUGAAAUGCUUAGAUAUGACAUAGAACACCAAUUGCGAAGGCAGCUGGCUACACAAAUAUUGACACUGAGGCACGAAAGCGUGGGGAUCAAACAGG